UACAGAGGUGGCAAGCGUUGUUCGGAAUUACUGGGCGUAAAGGGCGCGUAGGCGGUUCGAUAAGUCCCGUGUGAAAUCCCUCGGCUCAACUGAGGAACUGCACGGGAAACUGACGGGCUUGAGUUCGGGAGAGGGAAGCGGAAUUCCGGGUGUAGCGGUGAAAUGCGUAGAUAUCCGGAGGAACACCGGUGGCGAAGGCGGCUUCCUGGAAGAUACCCGACUCUGAAACACGAAAGCUAGGGGAGCGAAUGGG
rnacentral:rRNA from 1 species